AGCGAACGCUGGCGGCAGGCUUAACACAUGCAAGUCGAACGGGCGUAGCAAUACGUCAGUGGCAGACGGGUGAGUAACGCGUGGGAACGUACCUUUUGGUUCGGAACAACCCAGGGAAACUUGGGCUAAUACCGGAUAAGCCCUUACGGGGAAAGAUUUAUCGCCGAAAGAUCGGCCCGCGUCUGAUUAGCUAGUUGGUGUGGUAACGGCGCACCAAGGCGACGAUCAGUAGCUGGUCUGAGAGGAUGAUCAGCCACAUUGGGACUGAGACACGGCCCAAACUCCUACGGGAGGCAGCAGUGGGGAAUAUUGGACAAUGGGCGCAAGCCUGAUCCAGCCAUGCCGCGUGAGUGAUGAAGGCCCUAGGGUUGUAAAGCUCUUUUGUGCGGGAAGAUAAUGACGGUACCGCAAGAAUAAGCCCCGGCUAACUUCGUGCCAGCCGCCGCAGUAAU
rnacentral:rRNA from 1 species